GCAAGAAACAAGUCGGAAAUCGGACGAAAAAAAGUUCUGUCUGAGCCCGGCUUUUACUGCCA
rnacentral:pre_miRNA from 1 species